UCCUGCAUUUGUUUGGUACAUUUGUGUAUCGAUACGACAGGGUAGAACUGGAUAUUUUUAGUAUGAAAACAUAUUCAGUAAAAACCUUCAAACAUCAGUUUGUUCUACUGCAUUUUGAUUACACAGUCAUGGUUUCCCUUGACGUAUGGCACAAGAAGCGGUGAGAUUUAUCCGUUUCUCAGCACAGCAACUUGUUGGGCUUCUGGUGACUGAAAGGCAGAAUUUAAGGUAACACUUUCAUAUCUUUUUAGGGUUUUCAGGAGGAAUUCAGCAGCAGUUUGACAGGUUUCCACCCGCACAUUACAACCCAUUGGAGGCAGAUUAAUUCCAAGCACACAAGCCCUCGUAUCAAACCACAAUUCAUUUGUAAUGCAAUCAAAGAGUGGUACUAGAUUCCCUCGUGUUUAAUGAGUAGACUGUCAGUGAAAAACAUCCAUCUCAUUAAAGGCGGUCGGCCCCUCAGAGUGGAGCUAAAUGAGAAGUGACAGAGGAUGUGAAACCUGACUCGUUUGGGAGCGAGCGCCGCCGCCGCUCCGUCUGAAUCUAUCUAGACGAUAGACAACAUCUUCUCUCCCAAACUGUCUUCGGCUCCCGCUUCUCUGGCGACCUUGUGACCCCUUCCCUUUAUUCAUGCCUGGAACUGAGGCCUGCAGCAGCAGUGAAGCCUCUCCGCCACCUUUCAUCAGCAGCUCACCCUGGGAGGACAUUCCCUCAGAACCCAGAGGAACCCAGAGGAACCCGGCUCGGUGUUUACCUGGAAGUAUAGAGCGACCGGACCAAAAGGUUUCUCUCCAAGGACAAGACGUGUGCAGAUUCCUGCUUCACACUGCAGGGAAAGUUGGCGGCUGAUUCUGGUUCAUAAUGAACCAAACAUGCCUGGUCCAAGCCAACAGUGGCAUAGCAUGAGCUAAAGGCACAAAGGCUGUCACAGUUAGAUAAAACUAACUGAAUAAAAACUGAAAACAUU